rnacentral:tRNA from 1 species
CUCUUAAUUUUAAAUCCGAAGAGGUGUAAAUAAUUACUAUAUGUACAACUAUUGGAGUAAUUUCAUUCUUUCU